CGAGAGAUGGGGUGGUCCUGUUUGUCCCAGUAGUUCACCUCGUCUACGGAGCGGUAGGCCGAGCUGUCGUCGCUGGUGCUGUGGUGACCAAUCCUGAGGGAUGGGAUGGGACGGAAGGAGAAUGUCAGUGGAAAGUGAGAUCAGCUCUGAAAAUCUACUUUGGGAUGGAUGUGAGUUGGACUGGAACAGAGCAGUGUCAGGUUAGCUGGGGACUUGUCGGGUCCAGACCGUACUAUUGUCAUUUGAAAGAAAGAACCCACGACUGGAUGCUCGACUGCUCUUCACUACGGUUUUGAUUCAACCUCGUGUAAAUAAUCAACGCCAUGACACAAACAACAGGAAAAGGAGAAUGUAAACGAAUCCUCCGAACUGCUUUCAGCAGGACAACGUUUUGUUACGUUCAGAUAGAAAUACGUAUGUAGAACAAGGAGUCAUGUCUAUUCUAUAUGUAUGUAGAACAAGGAGUCAUGUCUAUUCUAUAUGUAUGUAGAACAAGGAGUCAUGUCUAUAUGUAUGUAGAACAAGGAGUCAUGUCUAUUCUAUAUGUAUGUAGAACAAGGAGUCAUGUCUAUUCUAUAUGUAUGUAGAACAAGGAGUCAUGUCUAUGUAUAUGUAGAACAAGGAGUCAUGUCUAUGUAUGUAGAACAAGGAGUCAUGUCUAUAUGUAUGUAGAACAAGGAGUCAUGUCUAUAUGUAUGUAGAACAAGGAGUCAUGUCUAUGUAUAUGUAGAACAAGGAGUCAUGUCUAUGUAUGUAGAACAAGGAGUCAUGUCUAUGUAUGUAGAACAAGGAGUCAUGUCUAUAUGUAUGUAGAACAAGGAGUCAUGUCUAUAUGUAUGUAGAACAAGGAGUCAUGUCUAUUCUAUGUAUGUAGAACAAGGAGUCAUGUCUAUUCUAUGUAUGUAGAACAAGGAGUCAUGUCUAUUCUAUAUGUAUGUAGAACAAGGAGUCAUGUCUAUUCUAUAUGUGUUGUCCUUGUUAAUGUAGUGUACAGGUACAGACAGGAACAGACGGGUAGUGUACAGGUACAGACAGGAACAGACGGGUAGUGUACAGGUACAGACAGGAACAGACGGGUAGUGUACAGGUACAGACGGGUAGUGUACAGGUACAGACAGGAACAGACGGGUAGUGUACAGGUACAGACAGGAACAGACGGGUAGUGUACAGGUAUAGACAGGAACAGACGGGUAGUGUACAGGUACAGACAGGAACAGAUGGGUAGUGUACAGGUACAGACAGGUAGUGUACAGGUACAGACAGGAACAGACGGGUAGUGUACAGGUACAGAUGGGUAGUGUACAGGUACAGACAGGUAGUGUACAGGUACAGACAGGUAGUGUACAGGUACAGACAGGAACAGACGGGUAGUGUACAGGUACAGACAGGAACAGACGGGUAGUGUACAGGUACAGACAGGAACAGACGGGUAGUGUACAGGUACAGACAGGUACAGACAGGUAGUGUACAGGUACAGACAGGAACAGACGGGUAGUGUACAGGUACAGACAGGAACAGACGGGUAGUGUACAGGUACAGAUGGGUAGUGUACAGGUACAGACGGGUAGUGUACAGGUACAGACGGGUAGUGUACAGGUACAGACAGGAACAGACGGGUAGUGUACAGGUACAGACAGGAACAGACGGGUAGUGUACAGGUACAGACAGGAACAGACGGGUAGUGUACAGGUACAGACAGGUAGUGUACAGGUACAGACAGGUAGUGUACAGGUACAGACAGGAACAGAUGGGUAGUGUACAGGUACAGACAGGUAGUGUACAGGUACAGACCGGAACAGACGGGUAGUGUACAGGUACAGACAGGUAGUGUACAGGUACAGACAGGAACAGACGGGUAGUGUACAGGUACAGAUGGGUAGUGUACAGGUACAGACAGGUAGUGUACAGGUACAGACAGGAACAGACGGGUAGUGUACAGGUACAGAUGGGUAGUGUACAGGUACAGACAGGUAGUGUACAGGAACAGACAGGUAGUGUACAGGUACAGACCGGAACAGACGGGUAGUGUACAGGUACAGACAGGUAGUGUACAGGUACAGACAGGAACAGACGGGUAGUGUACAGGUACAGAUGGGUAGUGUACAGGUACAGACAGGUAGUGUACAGGUACAGACAGGAACAGAUGGGUAGUGUACAGGUACAGACAGGAACAGACGGGUAGUGUACAGGUACAGACAGGUACAGACAGGUAGUGUACAGGUACAGACAGGAACAGACGGGUGGGUAGUGUACCUGUAGGUCAUGGCCUCGAUGAGGAAGGGCUGGUUCUCGGCCACAGCCCUACGGCGAGCCUCCUUGGUAGCGUUGUACACAGCGAA